rnacentral:rRNA from 1 species
GACGAACGCUGGCGGCGUGCUUAACACAUGCAAGUCGAGCGGUAAGGCCUUUCGGGGUACACGAGCGGCGAACGGGUGAGUAACACGUGGGUGAUCUGCCCUGCACUUCGGGAUAAGCCUGGGAAACUGGGUCUAAUACCGGAUAUGACCUCCUAUCGCAUGGUGGGUGGUGGAAAGAUUUAUCGGUGCAGGAUGGGCCCGCGGCCUAUCAGCUUGUUGGUGGGGUAAUGGCCUACCAAGGCGACGACGGGUAGCCGACCUGAGAGGGUGACCGGCCAAACUGGGACUGAGACACGGCCCAGACUCCUACGGGAGGCAGCAGUGGGGAAUAUUGCACAAUGGGCGAAAGCCUGAUGCAGCGACGCCGCGUGAGGGAUGACGGCCUUCGGGUUGUAAACCUCUUUCAGCAGGGACGAAGCGCAAGUGACGGUACCUGCAGAAGAAGCACCGGCUAACUACGUGCCAGCCGCCGCCGUAAUAC